rnacentral:rRNA from 1 species
GAUGAACGCUGGCGGCGUGCCUAAUACAUGCAAGUCGAGCGAACAGAUAAGGAGCUUGCUCCUUUGACGUUAGCGGCGGACGGGUGAGUAACACGUGGGUAACCUACCUAUAAGACUGGGAUAACUUCGGGAAACCGGAGCUAAUACCGGAUAACAUUUGGAACCGCAUGGUUCUAAAGUGAAAGAUGGUUUUGCUAUCACUUAUAGAUGGACCCGCGCCGUAUUAGCUAGUUGGUAAGGUAACGGCUUACCAAGGCGACGAUACGUAGCCGACCUGAGAGGGUGAUCGGCCACACUGGAACUGAGACACGGUCCAGACUCCUACGGGAGGCAGCAGUAGGGAAUCUUCCACAAUGGGCGAAAGCCUGACGGAGCAACGCCGCGUGAGUGAUGAAGGGUUUCGGCUCGUAAAACUCUGUUAUUAGGGAAGAACAAACGUGUAAGUAACUGUGCACGUCUUGACGGUACCUAAUCAGAAAGCCACGGCUAACUACGUG